GACGAACGCUGGCGGCGUGCCUAAUACAUGCAAGUUGAGCGCUGAAGGUUGGUACUUGUACCAACUGGAUGAGCAGCGAACGGGUGAGUAACGCGUGGGGAAUCUGCCUUUGAGCGGGGGACAACAUUUGGAAACGAAUGCUAAUACCGCAUAAAAACUUUAAACACAAGUUUUAAGUUUGAAAGAUGCAAUUGCAUCACUCAAAGAUGAUCCCGCGUUGUAUUAGCUAGUUGGUGAGGUAAAGGCUCACCAAGGCGAUGAUACAUAGCCGACCUGAGAGGGUGAUCGGCCACAUUGGGACUGAGACACGGCCCAAACGCCUACGGGAGGCAGCAGUAGGGAAUCUUCGGCAAUGGACGAAAGUCUGACCGAGCAACGCCGCGGGAGUGAAGAAGGUUUUCGGAUCGGAAAACUCUGUUGGUAGGGAAGAACGUUGGUGAGAGUGGAAAGCUCAUCAAGUGACGGUAACUACCCAGAAAGGGACGGCUAACUACGUG
rnacentral:rRNA from 1 species